rnacentral:ncRNA from 1 species
AUGGAGCUAUCCGAUGAAGUGAUGCAACAUUGGAGCCUUUGGGAAUUAAUUUAUAUGCGAAAGAAUAUUAAAUAAUUUUUAUUAGAGAAAUUAUAAUCCUUAUUUAUUGAUUUUUAUUAAAACAAAAAUUUUUUAGCUAUUUUAACUUAAGUUCCAUUUCAUUUUUUAAUUUUUUAUUAUUUGAUAUUUUUUCUUCAUUUUUUUCUAUUAAAACUUACACAUAAUUAAAGCAGUUUAUUUGUUUUGCUUUGUAAUAAUAUUGAUUAGUUUUUGGAGUACUCGUAAGGUAGCCAAAUGCCUCGUCGUUUAAUUAGUGACGCGUAUGAAUGGAUUAAUGAGAUUACCAUUGUCCCUAUCUACUAUCUAGCGAACCCAUAGCUAAGGGAACGGGUUUAGAAUAAUCAGCGGGGAAAGAAGACCCUGUUGAGCUUGACUCUAGUCUAACUUUGUGAAAUGGCACGUGAGCAAUAGAUCUUGUAAAACCUUACACUGCCCAUAUAAUCAUUUUGCUUAUUUCGUGAAUUUUGAAAAAAAUUAUUGAGCAGCAAAGCAGCAAAGCAGCAAAAGCAGCAAAGCAACAAAAGCAGCAAAGCAACAAAAGCAGACAGAGCAGCAAAAGCAGAAAGAGCAAAUAAUAUGUUUCAAGCAAAAAAGACCCUUCAACACUUUACAAAAAAACUUUUUCAUCAAAUUUUUUUAUUAAUAUCUAUUUUUACAACAAAUUUUUUU